UACCAGCUCUUCGAGUGGUGUGGAUGUUUAUUGGGCCUAGAGCAUCCGUAGCUGGCUGGGCAAGUCCCCUGUUAAAUCCACCGAUUUAAUCGUUGGAGUGCGGGGGAUACUGUUCGGCUAGGGGACGGGAGAGGCAGACGGUAUUUUCGGGGUAGGGGUGAAAUCCUAUAAUCCCGGGAAGACCACCAGUGGCGAAGGCUGUCUGCUAGAACGCGCCCGACGGUGAGGGAUGAAGGCUGGGGGAGCGAACCGGAUUAGAUACCCGGGUAGUCCCAGCUGUAAACGAUGCAGGCUAGGUGUUUGGGCGGCCACGUGCCGCUCUAGUGCCGCAGGGAAGCCGUUAAGCCUGCCGCCUGGGGAGUACGGCCGCAAGGCUGAAACUUAAAGGAAUUGGCGGGGGAGCACCACAAGGGGUGAAGCUUGCGGUUU
rnacentral:rRNA from 1 species